AUCCCACGAAGCCUUCACUCUCUCAAUCUCCUCCUUUCCUCUUCAUCUUUCAAUCCCAACAAGAUUUCUUACUGCUCAAAUUCUCGGCGCCCUAGCUGUAUGGCCGUCAAAUCCCAAACGACGAUGUCGGAGAAAUCGAUAUCAGAAAAUAGAAUGCUGGUGUUUGUUCCUCCACAUCCACUGGUCAAGCACUAG